GCCCGCCUAGCUCAAUUGGCUAGAGCGUCAGACUUUUACGGCUUAGGCAGGUAUCUGAAGGCUGCGAGUUCGACCCUCGCGGUGGGCU